UGAGAGGCGUUCUGAUAGGUGAAGUGUCCUGUGUAAUUUGACUGAUAUAUAGUGAACGUGUGUGUGUGUGUGUGUGUGUACCUUAUUAUACCUUCGUAUGUAUGUGUGUUUGUGUGUGUUUAGCUUUGAGUGUUUGGCUUUUUAUUUUGAUUUUUUCUUUUUGGUGUGUAUGUUAGUGAAAGGGUUGAUUUUGCUUGUUUUUUUAAAUUUUUUAAAAUUAUUUUAAUUCUACCUAUUAAUUUUUAUAUCCAUCUACCUUCUUACCUACCUACCUACCUACCCACAUACCUACCUAUUAUCUACUUACCUACCUAUCCUCUACUUACCUACCUAUUUACCUACCUACCUGCCUGCCUACCUACUUAUCAUCAACCUACGUACCUACAUACCUCCUACCUAUUCUCUACCUACCUACCUGCCUGCCUGCCUACCUACCUACCUACCUGUCUGGGUAGCCUUGAUACCAGUGAUGUGUGGUCUAAAGGGUGAGGUGACAGCAGGGCCCACCCUCCCAUAUGAGACUCUUGGGGCUCAGUAUGUUAUUUUGAGGACCAUAGGCCAAGGAAGUUAUGGCCAGGUGAAAUUGGCUCACCACAGACUCACGGGCACAGCUGUGGCGAUAAAAGUCCUGCUGAAGGAGAGAACACAAUACUAUCCGAUCAGAACGGAAGUGGGGAUAUUGAAGAAGAUGAAC
rnacentral:lncRNA from 1 species